rnacentral:rRNA from 1 species
AACGAACGCUGGCGGCAGGCCUAACACAUGCCAGUCGAGCGCACCCUGCGGGGUUAGCGGCGGACGGGUGAGUAACGCGUGGGAACGUGCCCUGCUCUGCGGAAUAGCCUCGGGAAACUGAGAGUAAUACCGCAUACGCCCUUUGGGGGAAAGAUUGAUCGGAGAAGGAUCGGCCCGCGUUGGAUUAGGUAGUUGUUGGGGUAAUGGCCCACCAAGCCGACGAUCCAUAGCUGGUUUGAGAGGAUGAGCAGCCACACUGGUACUGAGACACGGCCCAGACUACUACGGGAGGCAGCAGUGGGGAAUCUUAGAAAAUGGGGGCAAACCUGAUCUAGCCAUGACGCGUGAGUGAUGAAGGCCUUAGGGUUGUAAAGCUAUUUCAGCUGGGAAGAUAAUGACGGUACCAGCAGAAGAAGCCCCGGCUAACUCCGUG